rnacentral:rRNA from 1 species
UUGGAGGGCAAGUCUGGUGCCAGCAGCCGCGGUAAUUCCAGCUCCAAUAGCGUAUAUUAAAGUUGUUGCAGUUAAAAAGCUCGUAGUUGAACUUCAGGCCUGUCCAGACGGUCCGCCUUAAUUGGUGUGUACUGUCCUUGGGUGGGUCCUACCUUCUGGCGAAGCGGCAUGGCCUUAAUUGGUUGUGUCGGGGAACCAGGACUUUUACUGUGAAAAAAUUAGAGUGUUCAAAGCAGGCAAAUAUGCUCGAAUACAUUAGCAUGGAAUAAUGGAAUAGGACGAUGGUUCUAUUUUGUUGGUUCUAGGACCGUUGUAAUGAUUAAUAGGGAUAGUUGGGGGCAUUAGUAUUCAAUUGUCAGAGGUGAAAUACUUGGAUUUAUUGAAGACUAACUACUGCGAAAGCAUUUGCCAAGAAUGUUUUCAUUAAUCAAGAACGAAAGUUAGGGGAUCGAAGACGAUCAGAUACCGUCGUAGUCUUAACCAUAAACUAUGCCGACUAGGAAUCGGGCGAUGUUGACAAAAUGACUCGCUCGGCACCUCAUGGGAAACCAAAGUGUUUGGGUUC